GAGCUCAGUCGGUAGAGCAUGAGGCUCUUAAUCUCAGGGUUGUGGAUUCGAGCCCCACGUUGGGCA
rnacentral:tRNA from 1 species